CCUACGGGCGGCAGCAGUGAGGAAUAUUGGUCAAUGGACGAGAGUCUGAACCAGCCAAGUAGCGUGAAGGAUGACUGCCCUAUGGGUUGUAAACUUCUUUUAUAUGGGAAUAAACUGUUCCACGUGUGGGAUUUUGUAUGUACCAUAUGAAUAAUGAUCGGCUAACUCCGUGCCAGCAGCCGCGGUAAUACGGAGGAUCCGAGCGUUAUCCGGAUUUAUUGGGUUUAAAGGGAGCGUAGGUGGAUUGAUAAGUCAGUUGUGAAAGUUUGCGGCUCAACCGUAAAAUUGCAGUUGAAACUGGCAGUCUUGAGUACAGUAGAGGUAGGCGGAAUGCGUGGUGUAGCGGUGAAAUGCUUAGAUAUCACGAAGAACUCCGAUUGCGAAGGCAGCUCACUGGACUGCAACUGACACUGAGGCUCGAAAGUGUGGGGAUCAAACAGGAUUAGAUACCCUAGUAGUC
rnacentral:rRNA from 1 species